rnacentral:lncRNA from 10 species
GGCCAAAUCUGACCUGCUUGCACAUGUGUUUGUCAAUAAAGUUUUAUUGAAACACAGCCAUGCACAUUUGCUACAUAUUGUCUACGGCUGCUGGAUUUGGCUGUUCUCAUGGUAUAAAGAAAUACCUGAGACUGGGUAAUAUAUAAAGAAAAGAGGUUUAAUUGGCUCGCAGUUUUGUAGGCUAUACAGGGAGCAUGACACUGACAUCUGCUGAGCUUCUGUGGAGGCCUCAGGAAACUUACAAUGAUGGCAGAAAGUGAAGCGGGAGCAAGAGAGUAAGGAGGGAGGUGCGACACACUCGUAAACAACCCGAUCUUGCAAGAACUCACUCACUAUUGCAAGGACAGGACCAAAAGGAUGAUGCAAAAUCAUUCAUGAGAAAUCCACCCCCAUGAUUCAAUCUCUUCCCACCAGGCCCCACCUCUAACACUGGGGACAGCUUUUAUCUUGGCUUUUUCACUGGCAGCCCCUUCCUCAAGGACUUAACUUGUGUAAGCUGACUCUUAGCAGAUCUAAGAAUGCAAUUAACUGAUAAGAUACUGUGGGGCGAGCAAUAUCCACAGUUCCCAGGAAUUUGUCCAAUUGAUAAUGCCUAAAGCCCCACGUCUAUCACUUUGUAAUAGUCUUAAAGCCCUUAGACCUAGAACUCUUUACUUUCCUGUAUCAAUUUAUCCUUUUAACUUUUUUGCCUACUUCUGUAAAAUUCUUUUAACUAGACCUGUUUCCCCUUUCUAAACUGAAGUAUAAAAGAAAAUCUAGCCCCUUCUUCGGGGCCAAGAAAACGUUAAGAGUUAGCCAUUUCUUAGGCACCAGCUAAAUAAGGAGACUCUUAAUUCAUGUGAAAGUGUGGCAUUUUCUCCAACUCAUUCAAGUACAACAUUUGGAGGCCCCAGCGAGAAACGCCAUGAGGAGAGAGCCGGGCUCCCCCAGAAGGACGGCCGGCUUGUGGGGGGUGCCACCUAAAAAAAAACCUUCAGGUCCUCGAAAAGUGACCGUCUUCCAGAGGAGAGCGGAUCGACUACCCGGCUGGCGACCACAGUCCUGUCUUUUCUGCCAGAAGCAAGUCAAGUGUUGUUACAAGAACAAGUGUGAAAAACAUUUGCCUGAUUAAGAUUUCUAGCACUAUGAAAGUUCCCCAGGCUUUGACCUCUCUGACAGAGUCUGUACUCCGGACCCGCCCGCCCACCUAAGAUGAUUGCCAACAGCUCCUUUUAACCCUUUUCACCUCUGAAAAGAAGGAACGUAUCCAAAAAGAAGCCAAAAAGUACUUCCUCACAUCAGCCAACGGACCGGAAGAAGAAGCUAGAGACCUCCUUGAGGAUGUCUUUCCCUCUACCCAGCCUAACCAGGACCCACAUUCCUCAAGUAGAAAGGGAGCUUUAGACGAUUUUCACCGGUAUCUCCUCGCAAGUAUUAAAAGAGCCUCUCAGAAACCCAUCAACUUGUCUAAGACGACCGACGUUGUCCAAAAGCCCGAUAAGUCACCAAGAACGUUUUAGAGCGCCUCCAGGAGGCUUAUCGGAUUUACACCCCUUUUGACCCGGCAGCUCCCGAAAAUAGCCUUGCUCUUAAUUUAGCAUCUGUGGCUCAGGCAGCCCAGGAUAUUAAAAAGAAACUCCAAAAACUAAAGAUUUUCUAGAAUAAAUAUCAGUCAGCUUUUAGAAAUAGCCCAAAAAGUUUUUGAUAAUCAAAAGCUUAAAAAACAAAAGCAACACAGGCAACUGGAAAGGCCGCUGAUAAAGCAUUCAGAAGACAAACAAAAAUCUUAGUGGCAGCCAUCCAAGAAGUACAGAAUGAAGUAGCCCGUUAAUUUAGCAUUAACUGAAGCCCCUGCUUUAGCCCUCCCUAAUAUCUCCAUAAAAGCCAAGGAGUUGCUAAAGACGUGCUUACUCAGACUUUAAGACCCUAAAGCCGCCCAGUGGCCUAUUUGUCUAAGAGGCUAGAUCCUGUGGCCUCUAGAUGGCCAAGUUGUCUUCGAGCCUUAGCGGCUACAGCAAGCCUGGCCCAAGAAGAUGAUAAGUUAACUCUAAGCCAAAAUUUAACCCUUACAGCUCCUCACGCCGUAAAGACCUUACUACAAAAUGCUUCUGGCAAAUAGAUGUCAAAUGCUCGCAUCUUGCGGUAUCAAAGUUUACUGUUAGAUCAGCCUCGUUUGACUUUCUCUCCCACAAAGUGUUUCAAUCCAGCUACACUACUUCCUGACUCAGACUCCACUAUUCCUGCUCAUGACUGUCAAGAACUGUUAGAAACUAUCGAAACUGGCCUAUCUGAUCUUCAAGCUGUGCCCCUAGAAAAGGCAGAUGCCGCCGUGUUCACAGACGGUAGCAGCUUCCUCAAGCAGGAAAUAUGAAGAGCCAGUGCAGCUGUUACCACGGAGACACAUUUGUUGUAAGCUCAAGCUUUACCAGCGAACACCUCAGCACAAAAGGCUGAAUUGAUCGCCCUCACUCAGGCUCUCCAAUAAAGUAAGAAUAAACUUAUUAACAUUUACACUGACAGCAAGUACGCCUUUGCUGCUGUGCAUGUACAUAAAGCCAUCUACCAGGAAAGCAGGCUACUCACCUCAGCAGGUAGCUGUGAUCCACCGCAAAGGACAUCAAAAAGAAAACACGGCCGUGGCCCAUAGUAACCAGAAAGCUGAUUCAGCAGCUCAGGUCGCAGCAAGACUUUCAGUCACGCCUCUAAACUUGCUGCCCACAGUCUCCUUUCCACAGCCAGAUCUGCCUGACAAUCCCGUAUACUCAACAACAACAACAACUGGCUUCGGAUCUCAGAGCCAAUAAAAAUCAGGAAAGUUAGUAGAUUCUUCCUGACUCUAGAAUCUUCAUACCCUGAACUCUUAAACAAACUUUAACCAGUUACGUACAGUCUAUCACCCAUUUAAGAAGAGCAAAGCUACCUCAGCUCCUCCAGAGCCAUUUUAAGAUCCCCGGUCUUCAAAGCCUAAAGAUUAAGCAGCUCUCCAGUGCACAACCUGAGCCCAAGUAAAUGCCAAACAAAGUCCUAAACCCAGCCCAGGCCACUGUCUCUGGAAAAAGUCGCCAAGAAAAAAGUAAGAAAUUGACUUUACAGAAGUCAAACCACACCAGGCUAAGUACAAAUACCUUCUAGUACUAGUAGACACCUUCUCCAGAUAGACUAAGGCAUUUGCUACCGAAAACGAAACCACCAACAUAGUAGUUAAGUUUUUACUCAAUGAAAUCAUCCGUCAAUAUAGGCUGCCUGCUGCCAUAAAGUCUGAUAAUAGAGCAGCCUUCACCUCGCCUAUAGCUCAGUCAGUCAGUAAGGCGUUAAACAUUCAACAGAAACUCCAUUGUGUCUAUCAACCCCAGAGCUCCAGGCAAGUAGAACGCAUGAACCACACCCUAAAAAACACUCUUAUAAAAUUAAUCUUAAAAAAACAGUGUAAAUUAAGUAAGUCUCCUUCCUUUAGCCCUACUUAAAUUAAGGUGCACCUCUUACCAGGCUAAUUUCUCACCUUUUGAAAUUAUGUAUAAUAAGGCACCGCCUAUCUUGCCUAAGCUAAGAGAUGCCAAAUUAGCAGAAAUAUCACAAACUAAUUUAUUACAGUACCUAUAGUCUCUCCAACAGGUACAAGAUAUUAUCCUGCCACUUGUUCCAGGAGCCCAUCCCAAUCCAAUUCCUGACCAAAGUCCUGCCAUUCGUUCCAGCCAGGAGACCUAGUGUUGUUAAAAAGUUCCAAAAAGAAAGACUCACUCCUGCUUAGAAAAGACCUCACAACGUCAUCUUCACGACUCCAAUGGCUCUGAAAGUAGAUGGCAUUCCUGCUUACAUUCAUCACUCCCGCAUCAAAAAGGCCAACAGAGUCCAACUAAAAACAUAAGUCCCCAAGCCUAAGUCAGGCCCCUUAAAACUGCACCUAAGUCAGGUGAAGCCAUUAGAUUCAUUCUUUUUAUCUACCUCACUCACUUGUUUUUGCCCGUUACAUCCUCUGUGCCUUCCUACUCCUUUCUCCUCACCUCUUUCACAACAGGACUUGUACUUGCAAACACCACUUAGAAGGCCAGUACCUCCAAGGAAGUGUCCUUUGCAGUUGACUUAUUUGUACUCUUCCCAAAGCCAGCCCAUACCCACGAAAAGCAACACAAUCUGCCAGUUCCAGGAGCAGGAAGUGUCGACUUUGCAGCAAGACUCAG